rnacentral:rRNA from 1 species
GAUGAACGCUGGCGGCGUGCCUAACACAUGCAAGUCGAGCGAUCUUCUUCGGAAGAGAGCGGCGGACGGGUGAGUAACGCGUGGGUAACCUGCCCUGUACACACGGAUAACAUACCGAAAGGUAUGCUAAUACGGGAUGACAUAUGAAAGUCGCAUGGCUUUUAUAUCAAAGCUCCGGCGGUACAGGAUGGACCCGCGUCUGAUUAGCUAGUUGGUAAGGUAAUGGCUUACCAAGGCGACGAUCAGUAGCCGACCUGAGAGGGUGAUCGGCCACACUGGAACUGAGACACGGUCCAGACUCCUACGGGAGGCAGCAGUGGGGAGUAUUGCACAAUGGGCGAAAGCCUGAUGCAGCAACGCCGCGUGAGCGAUGAAGGCCUUCGGGUCGUAAAGCUCUGUCCUCAAGGAAGAUAAUGACGGUACUUGAGGAGGAAGCCCCGGCUAACUACGUGCCAGCAGCCGCGGUAAUACGUAGGGGGCUAGCGUUAUCCGGAAUUACUGGGCGUAAAGGGUGCGUAGGCGGUCUUUCAAGCCAGAAGUGAAAGGCUACGGCUCAACCGUAGUAAGCUUUUGGAACUGUAGGACUUGAGUGCAGGAGAGGAGAGUGGAAUUCCUAGUGUAGCGGUGAAAUGCGUAGAUAUUAGGAGGAACACCAGUAGCGAAGGCGGCUCUCUGGACUGUAACUGACGCUGAGCACGAAAGCGUGGGGAGCAAACAGG